rnacentral:lncRNA from 1 species
GCAGCGGUGAAGGCAUGAACAUUGAAAGCUACCAGGCCUUGGUAUUCUCAUCCGAUAUAUGCAAGAUACUGGCAACAUUAUCAUCAAGCAAUGGCUUCGAUGCAAAGCCACCACAAUGCCUACAGGAAGGCCGGGGAAUCCUGUUGCAGUCUUCCUUGGUACUUCCCUCCUGCACUUCCUCCCCAAAGCUGUUACGAUAACCAGGCUGCGUAUCCUUAGUCCUUCUAUGGCCAUCAUGUGACCUGGCAGGACUCCCCGUGCAGUUCUUUACAUUUCAGAGGGUCUGGGCAGCAGCCACAUGACAGCAGUAGAAUCCAGGCAUCCACAAGAGAAGACCAAGAUUUGUCCAAAGAGGAAGAGAUGGAGAUCAAGUUAGAUGCAGAGGUAGAAUGUGACCUGAGCAAUAUGGAAAUCACCAAAGAGCUCCGCCAGUACUCUGCAGAGUGCCUCGGUAGAGGCACAGAGAAGGACGGUGGUGACAGCAGCUGGAUGCAGAGCACCUGGAAAGCUAUGUGAAGGCUGACCACGACCUGACCUGUACUGCAACACCCGCUGGUUGGUAGAGGCCCCAACUGAGAGGCCUAGAGAGCAGCGUCCCAGGCCGAGAUGAAGCGAUUGUAUGGGGACAGCGCCAAGAUCCAGGCCAUGGAGGCUGCGGUGCAGCUGAGCUUUGACAAGCACUGUGACCAAAAGCAGCCCAAGUACUGGCAGGUCAUCCCCCUGAAGUUCUG